UACACUCCUGCGGGAGGCAGCAGUGGGGAAUAUUGCACAAUGGGCGCAAGCCUGAUGCAGCCAUGCCGCGUGUAUGAAGAAGGCCUUCGGGUUGUAAAGUACUUUCAGCGGGGAGGAAGGCGAUAAGGUUAAUAACCUUGUCGAUUGACGUUACCCGCAGAAGAAGCACCGGCUAACUCCGUGCCAGCAGCCGCGGUAAUACGGAGGGUGCAAGCGUUAAUCGGAAUUACUGGGCGUAAAGCGCACGCAGGCGGUCUGUCAAGUCGGAUGUGAAAGCCCCGGGCUCAACCUGGGAACUGCAUUCGAAACUGGCAGGCUGGAGUCUUGUAGAGGGGGGUAGAAUUCCAGGUGUAGCGGUGAAAUGCGUAGAGAGCUGGAGGAAUACCGGUGGCGAAGGCGGCCCCCUGGACAAAGACUGACGCUCAGGUGCGAAAGCGUGGGGAGCAAACAGGAUUAGAAACCCCAGUAGUCCCAUGA
rnacentral:rRNA from 1 species